rnacentral:rRNA from 1 species
UGGCGGCGAUAGCGCGGUGGUCCCACCUGACCCCAUGCCGAACUCAGAAGUGAAACGCCGUAGCGCCGAUGGUAGUGUGGGGUCUCCCCAUGCGAGAGUAGGGAACUGCCA